rnacentral:rRNA from 1 species
GAUGAACGCUGGCGGCGUGCCUAAUACAUGCAAGUCGAGCGAACAGAUGAGGAGCUUGCUCCUCUGACGUUAGCGGCGGACGGGUGAGUAACACGUGGAUAACCUACCUAUAAGACUGGGAUAACUUCGGGAAACCGGAGCUAAUACCGGAUAAUAUAUUGAACCGCAUGGUUCAAUAGUGAAAGACGGUUUUGCUGUCACUUAUAGAUGGAUCCGCGCCGCAUUAGCUAGUUGGUAAGGUAACGGCUUACCAAGGCAACGAUGCGUAGCCGACCUGAGAGGGUGAUCGGCCACACUGGAACUGAGACACGGUCCAGACUCCUACGGGAGGCUGCAGUAGGGAAUCUUCCGCAAUGGGCGAAAGCCUGACGGGGCAACGCCGCGUGAGUGAUGAAGGUCUUCGGAUCGUAAAACUCUGUUAUUAGGGAAGAACAAAUGUGUAAGUAACUAUGCACGUCUUGACGGUACCUAAUCAGAAAGCCACGGCUAACUACGUG